rnacentral:rRNA from 1 species
GUUUGAUCCUGGCUCAGGACGAACGCUGGCGGCGCGCCUAACACAUGCAAGUCGAACGGAGUUAUGUUGGCAGAAGUUUUCGGACGGACGCGGAUAUAACUUAGUGGCGAACGGGUGAGUAACACGUGAGCAACCUGCCCUUCAGAGGGGGACAACAGUUGGAAACGACUGCUAAUACCGCAUAAGACCACGGUGUGGCAUCACACAGAGGUCAAAGGAGAAAUCCGCUGAAGGAUGGGCUCGCGUCCAAUUAGCUAGAUGGUGAGGUAACGGCCCACCAUGGCGACGAUUGGUAGCCGGACUGAGAGGUUGAUCGGCCACAUUGGGACUGAGACACGGCCCAGACUCCUACGGGAGGCAGCAGUGGGGAAUAUUGCACAAUGGAGGAAACUCUGAUGCAGCGACGCCGCGUGAGGGAAGAAGGUCUUCGGAUUGUAAACCUCUGUUGUCAGGGACGAUGAUGACGGUACCUGACGAGGAAGCCACGGCUAACUACGUGCCAGCAGCCGCGGUAAAACGUAGGUGGCAAGCGUUGUCCGGAAUUACUGGGUGUAAAGGGAGCGCAGGCGGGAGAGCAAGUUGGGAGUGAAAUCUGUGGGCUCAACCCACAAAUUGCUUUCAAAACUGUUUUUCUUGAGUGGUGUAGAGGUAGGCGGAAUUCCCGGUGUAGCGGUGGAAUGCGUAGAUAUCGGGAGGAACACCAGUGGCGAAGGCGGCCUACUGGGCACUAACUGACGCUGAGGCUCGAAAGCAUGGGUAGCAAACAGGAUUAGAUACCCUGGUAGUCCAUGCCGUAAACGAAUGAUUACUAGGUGUGGGAGGAUUGACCCCUUCCGUGCCGCAGUUAACACAAUAAGUAAUCCACCUGGGGAGUACGACCGCAAGGUUGAAACUCAAAGGAAUUGACGGGGGCCCGCACAAGCGGUGGAGUAUGUGGUUUAAUUCGAAGCAACGCGAAGAACCUUACCAGGCCUUGACAUGGAUAUAAAUGUUCUAGAGAUAGAAAGAUAGCUAUAUAUCACACAGGUGGUGCAUGGUUGUCGUCAGCUCGUGUCGUGAGAUGUUGGGUUAAGUCCCGCAACGAGCGCAACCCUUGUCUUCUGUUACCAGCAUUAAGUUGGGGACUCAGGAGAGACUGCCGGUGACAAACCGGAGGAAGGUGGGGAUGACGUCAAAUCAUCAUGCCCCUUAUGGCCUGGGCUACACACGUACUACAAUGGCGCCUACAAAGAGCAGCGACACCGCGAGGUGGAGCGAAUCUCAUAAAGGGCGUCUCAGUUCGGAUUGAAGUCUGCAACUCGACUUCAUGAAGUCGGAAUCGCUAGUAAUCGCAGAUCAGCAUGCUGCGGUGAAUACGUUCUCGGGCCUUGUACACACCGCCCGUCA